GAAAAUGUAUUAUUCUCUUUGUUUGAUUUGAUUUUGAUUUAUGCAUUUGCAUUUUGAUUCGAAUCGAAUCAAAUCCAAUCGAAACCGCACCAAUUGACACCAUUGUCAUACCUUGUAGAAAAACUUUAGCUUGAGAGGGAGAGAGAGAUGGAAACUAGGACAUAGGAAUUCAGAAGAGAGUUAUGAAAACGAAAACAAUUUCUUUGCUAUCUGAGUUGCAGUUACUUGGCUACAACCCUAUGUUAACGGUCAAGGGAAUGAAAUCCCAAAAGAAAGUUUGAAAAUAACCACUUAGGGUGAAUUUUUCCAUAAUUUCCCUUGAGAUUUAAAGUAGCUGCAACCCAAGCAGCCAAGUUUUGUUCUAUGAAAACCUACUCGCAUCAUCCUUUGUGGGCUUGGAAUUGGUAUAGGCCAGGCCCAUAUACGACCAUCCAUAUAAGAGUAACACCAGGACUUCUUCAGUCUCCAGUCUCAACAAAGUACAAAACCUAGGGUUUCUCUGAUUCUGUCAUCUGAGUUCUUCAGCCUGCGGCUUUUAAGUAGCAGCUACAACCACCACCACCACCACCACUACUGCCAUAGCAACAACAGAACUCAGAAUGAUGGAUCUCUGAACACAUUAGUGGCGGCGAAGAGCAAUGAAUGCCACGGUUUUAGACAACACAGAGACGGAAAACCGAGUGUGAUCUGAUGGGAGGAUGAAGCCUAUGGCUUUGCUUGAUAAUCAGUUAAAGGUCCUCUCAGUAAUCUCAGUUGUUCUUUGGAGUGAACAAAACCAUCUGUUCCUGUACUGUACCUCUGGUUGAUCCCUACCCUCACCCCUAUAUAGCGAGCGGCCUAAAGAAAAAGGGAAAGAGGGUAGACUAGACCAACAACGGUGUUCAUGUUGCAACAAGGGAUUGUUCUGCUUCAGCCGUGGGUAUAGGGUGCUAUAGAGGCUAAGGUUGUAGCAUGCGAUUUAUGCAUUCCUGAAUGCAUCUUUGAAGUCUUUAUCUUGUAGUGGACUUGGAUAAGGGACUCUACCAAUUACCAGUUGAAGCCAUCUGAAUCUAAAUCAAUUUAGAGGAGAUGAUAAGAAUUGACUUCAUGAUGGACAGUUGAAUCAUACUCACAACCGAGCUCUUCUCAAGUUAGGAUGGCGUUUACUUGUUCAUCCCUCAUAGCUCUGGGCUCAAGUUUUAAAGGCCAACUAUUUUGCUUCUGCUAAUUUGUUGGAUAAAAGUCGUCGUUAGCCUACAGGAUCAUGGAUUUGGAACAGUAUGCAUUCCAUCUUCCAUCAUGCGAAACCUCCAAAAUAUAACCUGUUGGAGAUGGGAGUAACGUAAUUAUCUGGAAAGACCCAUGGGUUCCACAAGUACAAGGUUUUUGAAUGCCUCAUUCAUGCUCCCCUCAUCCACGGAUUGCCAAGUUUUGAUCCUCAAUCCUAGGCAACAGGAUGGGCAGCAGUGAUUAGCGGGUUCACAUUGUCUGCAGUGAUGAGCGGUGAGGUGCAGUGAACAUCAGGGCACAUGCCCCAAGGGGCUCCCAGCCACCCGAUCCUUAUUGCACCAGUGUAGUGGCUGCAGAUGAUUUUCACGCGUGAUUUAGAUAUAAUCAUCGAUUCAUCUUUGUACGUAUGAAGUUUGGAUUUCCAGGUGGUACUCAAGAAGCUGACGUUCGAGGACUCCAAGUUAUUCUCUGGAGCUUUUUUGGCUACUUUUUCAGCAGCAUAACUCUGGAUAGAUUCAAAUGGGAUGGAAGAUUGGCUGAUGAUGCAUCAGGAGGAGCAGUCUUGGCCAUGGGAAGUCCUUCACAUAUUUGUAUGAUAUUAAAUGUUCUUGUAAGUUUGCCAAACUCUAUUUUGGUUGAAAAAGAAGGAUAGACCUAUCAGUAGGGAUGUGUUUGGUUUGCAUUCUUGGAAUGCAUUCCAGUCCUAGAAUGCGUUCUGAGGCGACAAAAAUGGCGUUUGGUAUCAAUUCUCGUUCUUGGGCUCUGGAAUGCGUCAAAGAAUGUGACCCGUUCUAGAAUGCUCAAAAUGACCCAUUUUGCGUUCUGUGGAAAAGAGGGAAAAGCACAUUCUAAAAGCCCCGACGAACCUGACAUAACCCUCGGUAGCCAGACCUGUGAGCUGAGGUUUCUUCAGCAAGAAGAACCUCUGAGCUUAGGGAGAUUCAGCAAGAUUCAGCGAAGAACCUGUGAGCUUAGGGAGAUUUAGCGAAGAAGUUGUGAUUCCUUCAAAACGAUUCAACGGAUUUCUGCUUCAAGGGUUUCGUUGUUGUAGUCUAUGAGAGAGAUGAAGUGAAGAACCGUGAUUCCUUCAACUGUAAUCCCUUAUAGUGCAGUGUAAAAGUGUACAAGUGUGAGGUUAGUUCAAAGUCGUAGGAAUCAGUUUGGUUUUACCUUAAAUUUGGUCAUGGUCACUGGUUCGGCUGGCGGAUGAGAUUGCUCAGAUCUCACUACUAUUAGGAAUUGACAGCCUUCAGUUCUUAGGUAUCAUUCAGAUCUUAUAAUGCUAAAUCUAAGGCCAUGCCCUGAUGUUCUGUAAGAUGUGGUUUCCCUUGUGCUAAACCAUUGUGUCUUCCGAUACCAGAUGAAUCACAUUUAGAUUUUGUUUA